GACGAACGCUGGCGGCGUGCUUAACACAUGCAAGUCGAACGGAAAGGCCCUUUCGGGGGUACUCGAGUGGCGAACAGGUGAGUAACACGUGGGUGAUCUGCCCUGCACUUUGGGAUAAGCCUGGGAAACUGGGUCUAAUACCGAAUACACCCUGCUGGUCGCAUGGCCUGGUGGGGGAAAGCUUUUGCGGUGUGGGAUGGGCCCGCGGCCUAUCAGCUUGUUGGUGGGGUGAUGGCCUACCAAGGCGACGACGGGUAGCCGGCCUGAGAGGGUGUCCGGCCACACUGGGACUGAGAUACGGCCCAGACUCCUACGGGAGGCAGCAGUGGGGAAUAUUGCACAAUGGGCGCAAGCCUGAUGCAGCGACGCCGCGUGGGGAUGACGGCC
rnacentral:rRNA from 1 species